rnacentral:misc_RNA from 1 species
AACGCACCUUGCGCCUUUGGCUAUUCCGAAGGGCAUGCCUGUUUGAGUAUCAUGAACACCUCAACUCUCAUGGCCUGCCAUGAUGAGCUUGGACUUUGGGGGUUUUGCUGGCGUAACCGUCAGCUCCUCUCAAACAAAUCAGCUUGCCAGUGUUUGGUGGCAUCACAGGUGUGAUAACUAUCUACGCUUGUGGCCUUCCACCAGGUUACCUUCAGCAAUGGAGGUCCGCUGGAGCUCACAGAUGUCUCUCCUCAGGGAUGACAGCUUUUGAACGUUUGAUCUCAAAUCAGGUAGGACUACCCGCUGAACUUAA